rnacentral:rRNA from 1 species
CCCAGCAAUGGGAGCGGCAGACGGGAGAGUAACACGUGGGAACGUACCCUUCAGUUCGGAACAACCCAGGGAAACUUGGGCUAAUACCGAAUACGUCCGUAAGGAGAAAGAUUUAUCGCUGAAGGAUCGGCCCGCGUCUGAUUAGCUAGUUGGUGGGGUAAUGGCCCACCGAGGCGACGAUCAGUAGCUGGUCUGAGAGGAUGAUCAGCCUUACUGGGACUGAGACACGGCCCAG